rnacentral:rRNA from 1 species
AAUCUGGGGCUCAACCCCAGACCUGCAUCCGAUACGGUCGAGCUAGAGUUUGGUAGGGGAGACUGGAAUUCCUGGUGUAGCGGUGGAAUGCGCAGAUAUCAGGAGGAACACCAAUGGCGAAGGCAGGUCUCUGGGCCAAUACUGACACUGAGGAGCGAAAGCGUGGGGAGCGAACAGGAUUAGAUACCCUGGUAGUCCACGCCGUAAACGGUGGGCGCUAGUUGUGCGAACCUUCCACGGUUUGUGCGACGCAGCUAACGCAUUAAGCGCCCCGCCUGGGGGAGUACGAUCGCAAGAUUAAAACUCAAAGGAAUUGACGGGGCCCCGCACAAGCAGCGGAGCAUGCGGCUUAAUUCGACGCAACGCGAAGAACCUUACCAAGGCUUGACAUAUACAGGAAUAUGGCAGAGAUGUCAUAGCCGCAAGGUCUGUAUACAGGUGGUGCAUGGUUGUCGUCAGCUCGUGUCGUGAGAUGUUGGGUUAAGUCCCGCAACGAGCGCAACCCUCGUUCUGUGUUGCCAGCAUUAAGUUGGGGACUCACAGGAGACUGCCGGGGUUAACUCGGAGGAAGGUGGGGAUGACGUCAAAUCAUCAUGCCCCUUAUGUCUUGGGCUGCACGCAUGCUACAAUGGCUGGUACAAACGGCUGCGAUACCGCAAGGUGGAGCGAAUCCGAUAAAGCCAGUCUCAGUUCGGAUUGGGG